CCUACGGGAGGCAGCAGUGGGGGAUAUUGCACAAUGGGGGGAACCCUGAUGCAGCGACGCCGCGUGGGUGAAGGAGCGUUUCGGCGCGUAAAGCCCUAUCGGCAGGGACGCAGAUGACGGUACCUGACCAAGAAGCCCCGGCUAACUACGUGCCAGCAGCCGCGGUACUACGUAGGGGGCAAGCGUUAUCCGGAUUUACUGGGUGUAAAGGGGGCGCAGACGGCAAUGCAAGCCAGGAGUGAAAGCCCGGGGCCCAACCCCGGGACUGCGUUUGGAACUGCAUGGCUGGAGUACAGGAGGGGCAGGCGGAAUUCCUAGUGUAGCGGGGAAAUGCGUAGAUAGUAGGAGGAACACCGGUGGCGAAGGCGGCCUGCUGGACUGUGACUGACGUUGAGGCCCGAAGGCGUGGGGAGCAAACAGGAUUAGAUACCCCAGUAGUC
rnacentral:rRNA from 1 species